rnacentral:rRNA from 1 species
AACGUAGGAGGCAAGCGUUAUCCGGAGUUACUGGGCGUAAAGCGCAUGUAGGCGGUUUCUCAAGUGGCGUGUGAAAGCGCCCGGCUAAACUGGGCGAGGACACGUCAGACUGAGAGGCUAGAGGGGGCUAGAGGGGCGCAGAAUUCGGGGUGUAGCGGUGAAAUGUGUAGAGAUCCCGAGGAAUACCAGUGGAGAAGUCGGCGCCCUGGGGCCUUAGUCGAAAGACUUUAACUGACGCUGAGAUGCGAAAGCGUGGGGAGCGAACGGG